UACGUAGGUGGCAAGCGUUGUCCGGAUUUAUUGGGCGUAAAGCGCGCGCAGGCGGUCCUUUAAGCCUGAUGUGAAAUCUUGCGGCUCAACCGCAAGCGGUCAUUGGAAACUGGGGGACUUGAGUACAGAAGAGGAAAGCGGAAUUCCACGUGUAGCGGUGAAAUGCGUAGAGAUCCGGAGGAACACCCGUGGCGAAGGCGGCCCCCUGGGCCGCGCCUGACGCUGAGACGCGAAAGCGCGGGGAGCGAACGGG
rnacentral:rRNA from 1 species